GGCACUGGGGGUGAGGUUGUAAUGUAGCUUUACUCUGGAUACCCCGUCCACAUCAGUUCGGGUGAACAGAGAAGCCUGUUUACCGGUCAGGAGUGUUUAAGUCCCAGCUCUGUUGCCUAGAGAAGCAGACGCACCCGCAGGCCUUUCCUGGCUCCAGCUCCAGCUCAUCUCCAGUCAUCCUACCCUGUUGCUUCCAUGCAGAUGUGUCUGGCAGAAGAUGCAUCAGAUCCUUGGAGCAUGAACACAGUGUGAAUUUGCAUCCAUGUGGUUUGGAGGAGCCAGGAGAGUCACCAGCAGGCACAAGCACUAUCCCAUCCCCACUACACCUUCUGGGAUGGAGGGAGGCCCCACUGCCUGAUGGUCACCCACUCUUCCACAGUGAGGAGUGUGACACCCCAGGUCAGCUGUGCAGGAAAGUGGACACCAUAUAAAGCUUGAGCCUGAGUCUGAAGCAAAGAAGACUUAGAGGCAUUAGCCCAGGGGAGUCAGAGGACAGCAAGCGGCAGGUCUGCCGUGUGGGUGGCAGGAAACGGGAGGGUGAGGAGCGGGUGCUUGGAGUGACCCUGAGAGACAGCACUUCACAGGGUCACGCAGGCCUCCUGCAUCUGAAUGGCUCACAGUUACGGGCUUAAAAGGAUCAGAAUGCGAUGAAGCACAUUUAACACACUCAGCAGAGACCAAUUCAGUCUUGGUUGAUUUGCACGGUGUUUUAAAAUCAUGCUAGCCCCCCAGUGGACAUCAUUAUGAGCCCCCAAAGAGCCAGGCUCCAGUCCCGCUGCGUGGGUGCCUCGUUAUCUCCAGUUUGGGAGAACAGACACUUCCCCCUGUAAGCAGGGAGCUCCCUCCGGAACAUUGGAUUUUCCAGGUGCUUUGCCUGCAAUCUGGGGGCUUCUCAACCUGGAGGACGGCCAUGCUUUGGCCUCCCAUGGGGUUUGAGCAUCAGCAUCAGCUACAGAAGGGGUGAGCAUACUGCCGUUCAAUUAUGGUUGCCCAUGACAACGGAUCUCUUUCUUGAACUGAAAUUCUUUAUUAAUGAGGAAGCCCAGAGUACCAUAGAAUGUUAAUUUCUGAGAUUUAAAAGCACACUUGGCGGUAAAAUUUGGCUUGCCUGUUCAUAGAUUUUGGAGCCCGGGGGGAGCUUAGAAGUGAUUUUGUCCGGUAUCUCCACGCCACAGCCAAGGAAACAGAGACUAAGAGGUGACGCGGUCCCCUCGAGGCUCUGUGGCCGUUUAGAAGCCAGGACUGGCCUUACUGUUCAACCUUCCAUCCAUUGGCAGAAACAGAAGACUUUGUUAAAACAAUCAAACGUAAGAGCUGCCAUGUGCAAAAGUUCUUGGUGUGGGCAGGGCACAGGGCUGACUUUUUACACUUAUUACUCCACUUAAUCUUUGCAACACUUCAUCAGGAGUAUUUUGUUUCCAUCCCAGCUGG
rnacentral:lncRNA from 1 species